UUAGACUAAGUAAACUGUAAUAAAUUGUCACCAUUUACUUGUCAACUACAUACAGUGUAUUUAAUUAACCUUGCACAUAACCACUAAGUGCAGAUUAGAUCAUCACUUAUCAGCAUCAGUAGAAAAACUGCAGAUUUCCUGAAAAUGUCAGAUUAUUACUGUGGAUGUUCUUUUCAGAAUGCAGGAUUUUUUUAAAUUGCUUAUAUAUUAAAAUUAAGUGUCUUUACUCACAAUAAUCUAGAAGACCAUGAAUAAUGUAACGGCAUAGUAUUUAUGAACUACAUUCUAAACUCUUCUGAGUAAAACCUUGGGACAUUUUUUGGUUUUGCUGGUUACACGUCAUAUAGUCCUGAACUUCCCUGGGUUUGUUUGCUUCUUCUCUUUUUAGUGAACAAUAUUUUCAUAAUGCUAAGAAGGAAACAACUUUAAUUUCACCUGGGGAAAAAUAAAAGGACCAAAGUGCUAGAUUUGAAGAUGAUGCGUUCAUCCAAUAAGUCACUGAAUGAUACAACAAAAACAAAAGAACUAGAGAUAAUAAAGGCAUCCCUUUACUUGUU